rnacentral:rRNA from 1 species
UACGAAGGGGGCUAGCGUUGCUCGGAAUCACUGGGCGUAAAGGGUGCGUAGGCGGGUCUUUUAAGUCAGGGGUGAAAUCCUGGAGCUCAACUCCAGAACUGCCUUUGAGUACUGAAGAUCUUGAGUUCGGGAGAGGUGAGUGGAACUGCGAGUGUAGAGGUGAAAUUCGUAGAUAUUCGCAAGAACACCAAGUGGCGAAGGCGGACUCACUGGCCCGAGUACUGACGCUGAGGCACGAAAGCGUGGG